rnacentral:rRNA from 1 species
UACGAGGGGUGCCUAGCGUUGUUCGGAAUCAUUGGGCGUAAAGCGUCUGUAGGCGGCUUUGUAAGUCGGGUGUGAAAGCCCCAGGCUCGAACCCUGGGAAGCUGCAUUCGUAGUAACUGCAUAGCUUGAAUGUUGGAGAGGAUAGUAGAAUUCCAGGUGUAGUGGUGAAAUACGUAGAUAUCUGGAGGAAUACCGGUGGCGAAGGCGGCAUCUGGCCAAACAUUGAACGCUGAGAGACGAAAGCAUGGGGGAAUCAAACAGG